rnacentral:lncRNA from 1 species
CUGCUGUACCCCUAUUUUUGACAUUUUUACUCUUUGAGUAUGUUUGUUUUGUUCAUACAUCGUUGACAAUGUAAUGGAAUUUGAUGCGACUGUCAUACAAGUGAGAGGUUAAGCUAGCUAUAAAACCAGGUUCAAUCCACCAUUUUCUACAUUAGAAAAUGCCUAUACCAAGUCAGGAAUAUGACAGUUGUUAUCCAUUCGUUUGAUGUGUUUGGACUUUUGAUUUUGCCUUUUGAUUUUGGAUUUUCCUUUUUGAAUUUUCCUCG